rnacentral:rRNA from 1 species
AACGGAGGGUGCAAGCGUUGUUCGGAAUUACUGGGCGUAAAGCGCGUGCAGGUGGUCUUUUAAGUUCCGUGUGAAAUCCCUCGGCUUAACCGAGGAACUGCGCGGAAUACUGGAAGACUUGAAUACGGGAGAAGAGGGCGGAAUUCCCAGUGUAGAGGUGAAAUUCGUAGAUAUUGGGAGGAACACCGGUGGCGAAAGCGGCUCUCUAGACCGAUAUUGACGCUCAUAAGCGAGAGCGUGGGUAGCAAACAGG